rnacentral:tRNA from 3 species
GGCCCCGUAGCUCAGCGGUAGAGCAGUUGCCUUUUAAGCAAUUGGUCACAGGUUCGAGUCCUGUCGGGGUCACCA